rnacentral:rRNA from 1 species
GACGAACGCUGGCGGCGUGCUUAACACAUGCAAGUCGAACGGAAAGGCCCUGCUUUUGUGGGGUGCUCGAGUGGCGAACGGGUGAGUAACACGUGAGUAACCUGCCCUUGACUUUGGGAUAACUUCAGGAAACUGGGGCUAAUACCGGAUAGGAGCUCCUGCUGGAUGGUGGGGGUUGGAAAGUUUCGGCGGUUGGGGAUGGACUCGCGGCUUAUCAGCUUGUUGGUGGGGUAGUGGCUUACCAAGGCUUUGACGGGUAGCCGGCCUGAGAGGGUGACCGGCCACAUUGGGACUGAGAUACGGCCCAGACUCCUACGGGAGGCAGCAGUGGGGAAUAUUGCACAAUGGGCGGAAGCCUGAUGCAGCAACGCCGCGUGCGGGAUGACGGCCUUCGGGUUGUAAACCGCUUUCGCCUGUGACGAAGCGUGAGUGACGGUAAUGGGUAAAGAAGCACCGGCUAACUACGU